AACAGAUGCAAAAUGCUUCAGAGGCAAUCAUAACAGGUGAAAUCGUAUGAUUAACCUGGACUUUGACUGUCCUUCCCUCUCUUCAAGUCAUGCCUGUGCAGUGCACACCACACUCCUCCCAAUGAGUCAUGACAUUAGGGGGUUGGCCAGGGGAGCGGUUAACAUUUGUUUUGACAUAGAGAAGACACAGCAGUUGACAGUGCUGGAGAGACUAAAAAACUGCUUUUUGUAUUUCAUCAGACACUUUCGCUAACUACGUUGUGUAUCUGUGACAUCUCUGUGUGAAAUGGUGUGACUGAUCGUCAACUCCUGCAGGUACGUGGUGCGGCGCAUCCGGGCUGCAGUGAGAAGGGGAGAGCAGCCAGAGAAGCCCACCGCAGCAUGUAGCCAGGCCAAGGGUGAGUGGGCUCAGCUGGGGCAAGAGGAGGCCUGGAGGUCCUUGGGCUCUGGGGCAUGGAAGGAGGAGGGUAUGCAGAAGAAUGGACAGGUGGAGCCGAUGUUCAAACCCCUGGUAACGGAGCCGGAACCAGGCCUGAAGGUGGCAGAGUGGGCCUCUGGUGAAUGACGUUAGAGAGGGCUGGAUAGAAAACAGGAGAGAGUGUGGAGGAAGGGAUGAGAGGAACAACUGUGUAAAAGAUGCACUGACUCAGUUGCAUUAUUAUCUGUAUCCUGUAAGACUAUAGCAGCAACCUCAUAUGUUGUCCUAUCACAUGCUAUGGAGAGACGCCCACUGCAUUAACUAAUCCUUGCUAAUGCCAUGUCAGUAUGAGGAGUUACAUGUACUGCAUGUUUUCUCUGGCUCAGUAUGAAAUUGUAUGACACUGACCUUGCACAUACAGAUGCAUUCACCUGCUAAUACAACGGAUCACAUUUACUGUGGAAAAAUUCACACAUUAGGUGCACACACACACACACACACACACACACACACACACACACACACACACACACACACACACACACACACACACACACACACACACACACACACACACACACUCUCCCCCUCCCACUCCACUCCUGUGGCCAGGUCUCUGUCCUUUGGGGUAGUCGAAGGUCAGAGUGAAAGAGUAACAAGCAGUAAUGCCCAGGCAGGAAGACAAAAACAAACCUUCUGCUGUUAAUAAAGAUACUGCCUCUAUUUCUUCACUGUAUUCUGGGAGAUGUAUAUUUUUUAUCAGUUGCAUGCUUAGAGGAAAUACAACAUAUGAAUAACAUUAUCUGGUGUGGGUUGACAACACAUAAUUACAUUGCCUUCAGAAAGUAUUCAUACCUCUUGACUUAUUCCACCUUAUGUUGUGUUACAGCCUGAAUUAAACAUGUAUUACGGACUAAACAUAUUAUGGACUAAACAUAUUUUAGUUUUUUUCACCUACCUACAGAUAAAACCAAAUAAUAACAAAGUGUAAACAUGUUUUUAGAAAUGUUGGCAAAUUUAUUGAAAAGGAAAUACAGAAAUAUCUAAUUUACAUAAGUAUUCACACCCCUGAGUCAAUACUUUGUAAAAGCACCUUUGGCAGCGAUUACAGCUGUGAGUGUUUCUGGGUAAGUCUCUAAGAGCUUUCCAAAUCUGAUUUGUGCAACAUUUGCCCGUUUGCCCAUCCUCAAUUCUCUUAUCACAGCCACUAAACUAACUAAACUCAGCAAAAAAAUAAAUGUCCCUUUUUCAGAACCCUGUCUUUCAAAGAUCAUUCGUAAAAAUCUAAAUAACUUCACAGAUCUUCAUUGUAAAGGGUUUAAACACUGUUUCCCAUGCUUGUUCAAUUAAUGAACAUGCACCUGUGGAACGGUCGUUAAGACACUAACAGCUUACAGACGGUAGGCAAUUAAGGUCACAGUUAUGAAAACUUAGGACACUAAAGAGGCCUUUCUACUGACUCUGAAAAACACCAAAAGAAAGAUGCCCAGGGUCCCUGCUCAUCAGCGUGAAAGUGCCUUAGGUAUGCUGCAAGGAGGCAUGAGGACUGCAGAUGUGGCCAGGGCAAUAAAUUGCAAUGUCCGUACUGUGAGACGCCUAAAACAGCGCUACAGGGAGGCAGGACGGACUGCUGAUUGUUCUCGCAGUGGCAGACCACGUGUAACAAUCUAGAAGAAAAAGAAACGAACACCAAUUAAGGCGAGGUGCUGGCUAGCGGAGUAGAAAACUUGAAAAUAAGCCAAGCUGUCGAAACGUUGGAUAUUACAUUUUUGCAUCUGUGCUCCUAGAGUGUGCAGCUCUCCCUUAUUUUCAAGACCACAUGUAACAACACCUGCACAGGAUCGGUACAUCCGAACAUCACACCUGCGGGACAGGUACAGGAUGGCAACAACAACUCCCCGAGUUACACCAGGAACGCACAAUCCCUCCAUCAGUGCUCAGACUGUCCGCAAUAGGCUGAGAGAGGCAAUAAGCUGACUGAGGGCUUGUAGGCCUGUUGUAAGGCAGGUCCUCA
rnacentral:lncRNA from 1 species